AAACCCAGCUGAGCCAGCCUCCACUGUUAUUGUGAACAGCAGGGGUCUCGGGCUCAGCCACCGGCCGGCUGCCAGUCUGGCACUGAGAAGUGGCCUCGGAGUGUUCCGGCUUGGUGAUGGACAUCAUAGCAGGAUGCUCAACAUAUCUAAGUCGGACAUCUGUAAUAAGUGGGAGAAGUCAGGCCACUCUGCUCAUGUCACCAUACAGAACAAUUACUGGCUGACAGGAUCACGUUGUUGUUGUCAGCGUAGAAGAGUACAGAGAUGGGACUGAGCUUGGUGGUUGUGCAGCACGCUUUGGGAACCUCAUCCGGCUUCAGAAGGUGAACCUGCCAUUGAAAACGGGUUGGGAGGAGGACAUGCUGCCUGAGGAGAGGGAGGUUCCUCUGGUAAACCUCUACCUUACCACCAAGAGAGUGGAGGACAUCGCCCUGAGGCUCGUCUCCCUGCGCCAGGCCUUCACUACCCUGCUUGGUUCCACCCUGAGCAGGAACCAUCUGUUUGUGG